rnacentral:lncRNA from 1 species
AUCAAUAUCAAUGCAAUUAAAGUCAAAGACAUCUAGGAUAUCUCCUAUACAUUAUCGCUUUCCUUUCUACUAAUAUGUAAAUGUAGUUUUGUUGCUGUCGAUGAAGGUAAAGUUAAAAUGUGUCGUGCAAUUAAGAUGUUUAAUUGAUAAUUAGGGGAAUGGUCGGUCAUUGAUGUCGCAGGUUCCAGCCGGCUUCGUUUGUUUGUUCAGAAACAAGAAACGUCAACAGAACAAUGCCAGGUUGAGGCGUGCUUGUGGGUCUCCCUGUCUCCAGUAGAGGGCACUGUGGACAUUCCUGAAGGUCAGCUGCGUGACGGCGCCACAUCUGAAUGCUGCCUUCUCCCUCCACCUGUGAGAGGACCGCACAGUCAAAAUGCGUCAGAUUUCCAGCUGCUGUCAACAUUUCCUGUAGAUUGGAAGUUUGCCAUCUCGCAGCUGGAGACAAA